GACGAACGCUGGCGGCGCGCCUAACACAUGCAAGUCGAACGGAGCUGAGAGAAGCUUGCUUUUCUUAGCUUAGUGGCGAACGGGUGAGUAACGCGUGAGUAACCUGCUCUGGAGUGGGGGACAACAGUUGGAAACGACUGCUAAUACCGCAUAAGCCCACGAUCCGGCAUCGGAUUGAGGGAAAAGGAUUUAUUCGCUUCAGGAUGGACUCGCGUCCAAUUAGCUAGUUGGUGAGGUAACGGCCCACCAAGGCGACGAUUGGUAGCCGGACUGAGAGGUUGAACGGCCACAUUGGGACUGAGACACGGCCCAGACUCCUACGGGAGGCAGCAGUGGGGGAUAUUGCACAAUGGGGGAAACCCUGAUGCAGCGACGCCGCGUGGAGGAAGAAGGUUUUCGGAUUGUAAACUCCUGUCGUUAGGGACGAUAAUGACGGUACCUAACAAGAAAGCACCGGCUAACUACGUG
rnacentral:rRNA from 1 species